rnacentral:sRNA from 1 species
GCAUGGAUCUCCGCCCCCGUGAUAGGGGGAG